rfam:Thermincola sp. JR, complete genome.
UGGGUAGUAUCUCUUUUCGGGAACUGCACCGCCGAUGGAAUUAUUAUUAAAGACAGUAUUUCAUAUUGGUGUCAUGCGACCCGCUUGGAGCCUAAUCGGACCGAGACGGAAGG